rnacentral:rRNA from 2 species
CAAAACGACUCUCGGCAACGGAUAUCUCGGCUCACGCAUCGAUGAAGAACGUAGCAAAAUGCGAUACUUGGUGUGAAUUGCAGAAUCCCGUGAACCAUCGAGUUUUUGAACGCAAGUUGCGCCCGAAGCCAUCCGGCCGAGGGCACGCCUGCCUGGGCGUCACGC